rnacentral:rRNA from 1 species
GACAGAGGGUGCAAACGUUGUUCGGAAUUACUGGGCGUAAAGCGCGUGUAGGCGGCUAAGUAAGUCGGGCGUGAAAUCCCACGGCUCAACCGUGGAAGUGCACUCGAAACUGCAUAGCUAGAGUCCUGGAGAGGAAGGUGGAAUGCUUGGUGUAGAGGUGAAAUGCGUAGAUAUCAGGAGGAACACCGGUGGUGUAAACGGCUUUCUGGACCAUAACUGACGCUGAGGCAACGAAAGCCGUGGGGUAGCAAACAGG